rnacentral:rRNA from 1 species
AGAUUAAGUUAUUAAGGGCGCACGGUGGAUGCCUUGGCACUAGAAGCCGACGAAGGACGUUACUAACGACGAUAUGCUCUGGGGAGCUGUAAGUAAGCUUUGAUCCAGAGAUCUCCGAAUGGGGAAACCCAGCAUGAGUCAUGUCAUGUUAUCCGUACGUGAAUACAUAGCGUACGAGAAGGCACACCCGGAGAACUGAAACAUCUAAGUACCCGGAGGAAGAGAAAGAAAACUCGAUUCCCUGAGUAGCGGCGAGCGAAACGGGAAGAGCCCAAACCAGGAUGCCUGCAUCCUGGGGUUGUAGGACACUCAGCACGGAGUUACAAAGGAACGAUUUAGACGAAUGGCUUUGGAAAAGCCAACCAGAGAAGGUAAAGGUCCUGUAGUCGAAAAGUCAUUCCCUCCUGAGUGGA